CAGUCGCCGCGGUAAUACGUAGGGUGCAAGCGUUAAUCGGAAUUACUGGGCGUAAAGCGUGCGCAGGCGGUGUUGUAAGACUGAUGUGAAAUCCCCGGGCUCAACCUGGGAACUGCAUUGGUGACUGCAACGCUGGAGUGCGGCAGAGGGGGAUGGAAUUCCGCGUGUAGCAGUGAAAUGCGUAGAUAUGCGGAGGAACACCGAUGGCGAAGGCAAUCCCCUGGGCCUGUACUGACGCUCAUGCACGAAAGCGUGGGGAGCAAACAGGAUUAGAUACCCCCGUAGUCCCUGUCUCUUAUAU
rnacentral:rRNA from 1 species